GAUGAACGCUGGCGGCGUGCCUAAUACAUGCAAGUCGAGCGAACAGAUAAGGAGCUUGCUCCUUUGACGUUAGCGGCGGACGGGUGAGUAACACGUGGGUAACCUACCUAUAAGACUGGAAUAACUCCGGGAAACCGGGGCUAAUGCCGGAUAACAUUUAGAACCGCAUGGUUCUAAAGUGAAAGAUGGUUUUACUAUCACUUAUAGAUGGACCCGCGCCGUAUUAGCUAGUUGGUAAGGUAACGGCUUACCAAGGCAACGAUACGUAGCCGACCUGAGAGGGAGAUCGGCCACACUGGAACUGAGACACGGUCCAGACUCCUACGGGAGGCAGCAGUAGGGAAUCUUCCGCAAUGGGCGAAAGCCUGACGGAGCAACGCCGCGUGAGUGAUGAAGGUCUUCGGAUCGUAAAACUCUGUUAUUAGGGAAGAACAAAUGUGUAAGUAACUGUGAACGUCUUGACGGUACCUAAUCAGAAAGCCACGGCUAACUACGUG
rnacentral:rRNA from 1 species